rnacentral:rRNA from 1 species
GAUGAACGCUGGCGGCGUGCCUAAUACAUGCAAGUCGAGCGAACAGAUGAGGAGCUUGCUCCUCUGACGUUAGCGGCGGACGGGUGAGUAACACGUGGAUAACCUACCUAUAAGACUGGGAUAACUUCGGGAAACCGGAGCUAAUACCGGAUAAUAUAUUGAACCGCAUGGUUCAAUAGUGAAAGACGGUUUUGCUGUCACUUAUAGAUGGAUCCGCGCCGCAUUAGCUAGUUGGUAAGGUAACGGCUUACCAAGGCGACGAUGCGUAGCCGACCUGAGAGGGUGAUCGGCCACACUGGAACUGAGACACGGUCCAGACUCCUACGGGAGGCAGCUGUAGGGAAUCUUCCGCAAUGGGCGAAAGCCUGACGGAGCAACGCCGCGUGAGUGAUGAAGGUCUUCGGAUCGUAAAACUCUGUUAUUAGGGAAGAACAAAUGUGUAAGUAACUAUGCACGUCUUGACGGUACCUAAUCAGAAAGCCACGGCUAACUACGUG